UUACUAUCGCUAUCACCAGCGACAACCUUACACUCGCACGAGGCUUUCCUUUCCUCUCUCUCUCUCCGAUCCGAGUCUGUUAAACCUUCGAUUCCCGAUAUAUGGAUUGUUGGAGUAUUUUGUUGAUGAUAUGGAUAUAGUUGUUAGAUUUCUGUUUAUGGACUUGCUAUCUGGGAGCACUGGAGUGGUCAUGGAUCAAAACUCUUGGAUACUCGCUUUAUUGAUUAUGAACAUAUGAUUUGAAACAUUUGAAUUACUAUUUAUGUUAUGCUUCCGCUGAAUAGUUGUUUUGGUUUAACUUAUGUCUUGGAUUGAUACUUUGAACUGAAUGGAAUGUUUUUAUUA
rnacentral:lncRNA from 1 species